rnacentral:lncRNA from 1 species
CCGUGAGAGUCCGCCACCGGCUGCCGCGUCCACAGCUCCGAUUUCUUUCGGUUUCACUCGCACAUCUGUCCGGAGGCGACUGGCAGACCUCGGAGACAGCGAAGGACAGGCCCCAGAGAAGAAAGAUUUCUUGGCGACUGUGGAAGGGAGGGAGCUGCAGAGUGUGAACCCUCCAGAAGCUCCAAAGGAGCUGGUUAUCCCAUUGAUCCAGAAUGGCUCUCGCAGGCAACUGCUGUCCAAGAACCCUAAGCCCUCAGAAACAAGCACCGUGUUGACGUCAGAUGGUGUGUUGUCCCAGGCUGUGAAGGAACUCAUUGAGGGUGCCGGAAGAAGCCGACUAUGAGGCAGUGCCUGUGGAGGCCUAUGGGCUGGCCAUGUUGCGGGGCAUGGGCUGGAAACCUGGCAAGGGCAUCGGCAAUACAUUCAGUCAGGUAGUGAAGCCCCGAGUCAACUCUAUAAGGCCAAAGGGCUUAGGGCUGGGUGCCAACCUGAUGGAGACUCAGGCCUUGGCCUCCACUGGCUCUCACCACCCACCAAGACCAGAUGGGGAUCGUGAGAAGGAUAAGGAAGGCCAACCUCAAGGGCUGAUGCAUGGAGGAGCUGUGGUGGUCCUUUCUGGCCCUUACCGGGGCCUCUAUGGGAAGAAGGCCUAGAUCCUGACAAUGUACGAGCCAUGGUUCGGCUGGCAGUAGGCAACCGCGUUGUGAAUGUUAGUGAGUAUUGCCUGCGGCCUGUUUCCCAGCAGGAGUUUGAUAGCCACACGUCGAAGC